rfam:Ornithorhynchus anatinus chromosome X1, whole genome shotgun sequence.
CCCCUCUCAGUAUCACACUUGGAGAGUUUCCAGUACCCUACCAGUCUCGGCUAUGGGAGGGAGAGUCAAGCAGAUACCCAUUCCAUUUCUAGCUUGGGCAGUGGCUAGCGAGUGGAAAGCAAUCUGCUACAAAA